AGCAAACUGAAAGCUGCCUUAUACUGAAUGAGGAAGAGCACAAAUACUCGGCUGAAUGAGCCGAGCCCAGCGAAAGAACGGCACACAGCAGUUGCUGCCCAAGCCUGGGUGCUCCUGGUGGUCCUGCACGAUGGGCUGUGCAGUAGGCUUGUCAAGGAGAGGAUCCUCCCUGGCCUCUCCUUGGGCAGAGGAGCAGGCACAGGGCUGGCACUGACUACACGAUGAUGGGAGGAUGGACGCCGCCUUCAGGAGCUGGAGGAGCAGAAGACGUGAACAAAGGUGGAGGGUGGUUUGGGCAGGGUUGGGUGAAGAGGUGCGUGGGGCGGGCUUUGAGAGUUAAAGGGGACCCACAGAAGGUUUCAAUCCAUGUGCUAUCAGCUCUUUGCUGGGGACCAUUGCCUCUUGGGCCUGAUGGGAAGCAGGGUGGAAAGGCCUACGAGGGAACCAAGUGGCAGAAGUGUUCAACCAGGUGUGCUGUGAAGGUGCUGUCCAGGCAGAGGCAGAAAUCAUGGUCAGAUCCCGAGG
rnacentral:lncRNA from 1 species